rnacentral:lncRNA from 1 species
CUCAACCAAGAGGGGCAAGAAAGACUGGUCCUCGAGCGAUAUGACUUCCACAGCCAAGAAUCCUCCAGUCAGAAGGCUGGCUUGCACACAGAAAGCCUCUGGGAAGGAGGUACAUCUUGGAAUAAUGUACUGAAGAGUGGUAGACCAUGCUCGAAACCUAUUUGAGACAAUGCUCGAAUCCUG